rnacentral:rRNA from 1 species
ACGCUGGCCGGCGUGCUUAACACAUGCAAGUCGAACGAUGAACCUCACUUGUGGGGGGAUUAGUGGCGAACGGGUGAGUAACACGUGAGUAACCUGCCCUUGACUCUGGGAUAAGCCUGGGAAACCGGGUCUAAUACUGGAUACGACCUUCUGGCGCAUGCCAUGUUGGUGGAAAGCUUUUGUGGUUUUGGAUGGACUCGCGGCCUAUCAGCUUGUUGGUGGGGUAAUGGCCUACCAAGGCGACGACGGGUAGCCGGCCUGAGAGGGUGACCGGCCACACUGGGACUGAGACACGGCCCAGACUCCUACGGGAGGCAGCAGUGGGGAAUAUUGCACAAUGGGCGCAAGCCUGAUGCAGCGACGCCGCGUGAGGGAUGAAGGCCUUCGGGUUGUAAACCUCUUUCAGUAGGGAAGAAGCCGGCCUUUUGGGUUGGUGACGGUACCUGCAGAAGAAGCGCCGGCUAACUACGUGCCAGCAGCCGCGGUAAUACGUAGGGCGCAAGCGUUAUCCGGAAUUAUUGGGCGUAAAGAGCUCGUAGGCGGUUUGUCGCGUCUGCCGUGAAAGUCCGGGGCUUAACCCCGGAUCUGCGGUGGGUACGGGCAGACUAAAGUGCAGUAGGGGAGACUGGAAUUCCUGGUGUAGCGGUGAAAUGCGCAGAUAUCAGGAGGAACACCGAUGGCGAAGGCAGGUCUCUGGGCUGUAACUGA